AUGCACACUCCUCCAUGUGAAAUAUUCAUCUUCAUUGGAGCUUUUUGGUAGUAGUCGUGACCAACAGCCAUCAGCUGUCGGCUCGUUGGUAAGGCGAGAACUUCACGCCCGAUUUCUGGUGGCACACCCCACACACAAGCACCGCCCGACGAAGGGGGGACGGGGAAAGCUACAGGCCCAAAACCUUCGACCCUUCUUUCUAAAUGGAGGAAAGAAGAAAACCUCAUCUUGUCAUUUCGUCGUUGCUCAUUCCCGUUAGGCCGAAGUGUUUGGCGUUUCCUUCUCCGCGCCCGCUCACGCUUCGCUGACCUAUCGCGUGGUAAAGAAAAGAAAGUACAAAAGAAUAGUAAACAGAGCACACCGCAGAAAGAUUCUAAAAGAUUCUAAAUAUGAGAAGUCCCCCUUGGAUUCGAGAAGAAGGAAAUGAAGAAGGGGAACGAAACAAAAUAAGGCGUUUCUAGCUCUAGUUUCGGGUGAGCUUCUCCCAAUUAUGUCUGGUAAUAGAAUAGGGCGGCUUGCUCUGACCAAGACUCCACUUUUUGCUCCGUCCAUGGAGCGUAUGAAUUUCCUGGAAUGUAGAUAGACCAAAAGAGGGAAUAAAGA
rnacentral:misc_RNA from 1 species